ACAGUGCGGAGACUUGCUAGCAUUGGCUAAUUUUGUAUUUUCAAUUGAAAGGACAGCAAAAUAAAAUAUUUGGUUUCAUGGAAGCUGAACUUGAUGUUGCUGAAUUUUUGUCAGACAGAAUCCAUAUUAGUUCAUUUUGUGACCUCUAGUGUCCCACAGCAUUUUUAAAUCAAGGGGAAUAAAUUCAGGAAGAAUGAAGGAGGGAAAAAGAAAUCUCUGACCUGGUAUUACCAAAAAGAAAAAAAAAAAGAAAAAAAAAAAAAAGAAAAAAAAAGACGCUAAGAUGAAAACAAAAUAGUGCCAUGGAUUUACAUAUGGGGUUUUGAUGGAAACUAGGGCUGGGUUUUAAGUCAAAACUCACCAUCUCAAAACCACUUCUUUUCAUCCGCCUGCAGGACUUGAGGGUAUUUUGCUAGCCACAGAAUGAAUCUGGACAGAGAGGUAGGAGUGAAAAACCAACAAAACCAUCCAUCUGUAAGGCAUAUUUUUUGCUUUAUAUUCUUACUUCAGCUUCUUUUUUUCCCUUUCCCUAUUUUCAUUUCCAUCUUACAUUGGUUCUCUGUACACCGUGAGUUUCAGAGUCACUUGCCUUGCCUUAACAGCACUCAUAUUCCAAGCCUUCCUUUUUUUUAUGUAUCCUCCCUAGACUAUAUUCUCGCAUUACCAAUCCCCUGGAGUUCCAUGUUUUAUUCCCUAAUCCUCCUAAUGUCAGAACUUGCGGUGUUUCUCAUCCCUUUCCCUGAGUCUCUUCACUCUCUAGACCACUUUCCAUUCCCUAGACCCUUAUAGCAGAUGUAGGAAGAAUGAGAAAACAUCAGAAGAAAACAGAAGAGCUGGCUAGUGGAUAAAAACAGCUUCAACAAGUAGCAAGCUCAGCACCACCUCAUAUGGGGCAAGAAAUUAGAAAGGGUUCAAGAUGGCAGAUGUGAGAUGGCAUGGGAAGACAAGGCUUGCAAGAGCAGCAAAAACAAAACUCCAGUUCUUGAUACAAUGAUACUCUGUCCUGUGAAGAUGAUGAGUAUCUACAUUGCUGUGCAGUCAGGUCAGCAACAACACUCACCCGGCGUAAGGCGUCAAAUUACGCAACAGAAGACCUGGGAGGACAUCACAGUGUCAUCUACUUUGUCUUGCUGCCACAGAAGAAGGUCAGAUGGUCAAUCCUGACCAUUGUUUGGUUGUUUUCUUAAGACUUCCAGUGACAGAGAUGCCAUGCAUCCCCCAGACAACCUGCACCAGUGUCUCACUGUCUUCACCACUAUUAAAACAUUCUUAAGACCAACCUCUGACUUUCAAAAAUGUACUAAGCCUAUUUCUUUUUCAUGUAUCUACCAUGGAUUGCAAUGGAGGAAAGGUGUGGCAUUGGGAGAAGAGCGCAUUCCCUUCCCGCUUUCCAACAGCUGACGAUUGUUGUGAUGUCCCCUUGCCUCAAUCUUCUCUCCCCAAUAAAUUAAUUUAUGCUGUGAAA